rnacentral:ncRNA from 1 species
GGGCAGAACGGUGAUGGGCCCCGCCUGGACGCAUGUCCGAACCGCACAGUGUUGACAAGCAUGGCGUUGAUGAAUGCAAUGCCGACAAACACAGUGCUGAUGGUUCCUACUCAAUC